rnacentral:rRNA from 1 species
UCAGAGAUUAGCUUGCUUUAGUUGUCAGCUAAGUGGCGCACGGGUGAGUAAUGUAUAGAUAACCUGCCCUUAAGAAAGGAAUAACAGUUGGAAACGACUGCUAAUGCCCUAUAUGCCUUUAAUACAUAAGUAUGCAAGGGAAACGCUUUAGUGCUUAAGGAUGGGUCUGUAUGGUAUCAGCUUGUUGGUGAGGUAAUGGCUCACCAAGGCUAUGACGCCUAACUGGUUUGAGAGGAUGAUCAGUCACACUGGAACUGAGACACGGUCCAGACUCCUACGGGAGGCAGCAGUGGGGAAUAUUGCACAAUGGACGAAAGUCUGAUGCAGCAACGCCGCGUGGAGGAUGACACAUUUCGGUGCGUAAACUCCUUUUAUAUAGGAAGAUAAUGACGGUACUAUAUGAAUAAGCACCGGCUAACUCCGUGCCAGCAGCCGCGGUAAUACGGAGGGUGCAAGCGUUACUCGGAAUCACUGGGCGUAAAGAGCGUGUAGGCGGGUAUAUAAGUCAGAAGUGAAAUCCUAUAGCUUAACUAUAGAACUGCUUUUGAAACUGUAUACCUAGAAUGUGGG